rnacentral:tRNA from 1 species
AUGGCUCGAUAGCUCAGUCGGUAGAGCAGAGGACUGAAAAUCCUCGUGUCCCUGGUUCGAUUCCUGGUCGAGCCACCAG